ensembl:snRNA U6 U6 spliceosomal RNA
GUGCUCCCUUGGGCAGCGCCUAUACUAAAAUAGUAACGAUACGGAGAAAAUUAGUAUGGCCCCUGCACAAAGACACACAAAGCAUGGCUCCUGAAUUCAAAUUGCUU